AGUGAACGCUGGCGGUAGGCCUAACACAUGCAAGUCGAACGGCAGCACAGUAAGAGCUUGCUCUUACGGGUGGCGAGUGGCGGACGGGUGAGGAAUACAUCGGAAUCUACUUUUUCGUGGGGGAUAACGUAGGGAAACUUACGCUAAUACCGCAUACGACCUACGGGUGAGAUCAGGGGAUCUUCGGACCUUGCGCGAUUGAAUGAGCCGAUGUCGGAUUAGCUAGUUGGCGGGGUAAAGGCCCACCAAGGCGACGAUCCGUAGCUGGUCUGAGAGGAUGAUCAGCCACACUGGAACUGAGACACGGUCCAGACUCCUACGGGAGGCAGCAGUGGGGAAUAUUGGACAAUGGGCGCAAGCCUGAUCCAGCCAUACCGCGUGGGUGAAGAAGGCCUUCGGGUUGUAAAGCCCUUUUGUUGGGAAAGAAAAGCAGCAGGUUAAUACCCCGAUGUUCUGACGGUACCCAAAGAAUAAGCACCGGCUAACUUCGUG
rnacentral:rRNA from 1 species